GGGGGCAUAGCUCAGCUGGGAGAGCACCUGCUUUGCAAGCAGGGGGUCGUCGGUUCGAUCCGUCUGCCUCCACCA
rnacentral:tRNA from 2 species